rnacentral:lncRNA from 1 species
AGAGGACACUGUUUCAAGAUUCCUGCGCCAGCUCCUUCGUUGUUAUAGAAGUUGGACUAAAUAAAAGGGUAAUCACAAGCGUACAGAUAACAGGCAGGCAGGAAUGUGAAAAUCAGAGAGAAGAGAGAUGUGCACCAGAAGCUGGAGUAAUGUGCUUUGAAGAUGGAGGAAGGGACCAUAAAUCAAGGAAUGCAGACAGCCUGUAGAAGCUGGGAAAGGCAAGGAUGUGGAUUCACUCGAGUCUCUAGAAGAAACGCAACCCCGCCAACACCUUGAUUUGAGGACGUCUGACCUUCAGAAUGAGAAAAUGAUACAUUUGUGUUGUAAGCCACCCAGUUUGUGAAAUAUGUAUCAACAAUUGAAAACUAGUACAUAGUCAAAUACUCAAUCUCUGUUUUUUUUAGCUUAUCAUUUUCAAUCUCUGUCUCCAACCCACAAACCACAUGCAUCAUAAAUAAAUUAAAAUACCAAAACUUU